GCCAGCCCGCUCAGAACUCAAAGGAAUUGACGGGGGCCCGCACAAGCAGCGGAGCAUGUGGUUUAAUUCGAAGCAACGCGAAGAACUUACCAAGACUUGACAUCCCCUGACAGCUGUUGAAAGGCAGUGUCUCUUCGGAGCAGGGAGACAGGUGGUGCAUGGUUGUCGUCAGCUCGUGUCGUGAGAUGUUGGGUUAAGUCCCGCAACGAGCGCAACCCUUAUCCUUAGUUACCAGCACGUAAAGGUGGGGACUCUAGGGAGACCGCCGGGGACGACUCGGAGGAAGGUGGGGACGACGUCAAAUCAUCAUGCCCCUUAUGUCUUGGGCUACACACGUGCUACAAUGGCCGCAACAGAGGGAAGCGAGAGCGCAAGCUGGAAGCAAAACCCUAAAAAGCGGUCCCAGUUCGGAUUGUGGGCUGCAACCCGCCCACAUGAAGUCGGAGUUGCUAGUAAUCGCGAAUCAGCAUGUCGCGGUGAAUGCGUUCCCGGGCCUU
rnacentral:rRNA from 1 species